UCCAUGGAUCAAAACUUUAGAGUAUAUGUGAAUAAUAAAUACCUAUGUGUAGCCCCCAAAUCUGACUUAAUAUCUUAAAAGAGUAUUACCUACUGAGGUAGCUUGAGAUGUUAUGAAACAGAGCUCUUACAUGUACGUUUUCAAAAGAACUAAAAUAAUGUGCGUAAAAUACAUACGUUUCUGUAAAACUGCAUGUAAUCUGUCUUGCAGUUGACCAAUAUUUCUCUUCUGUUUCCAAUUUCUAACACUGACAUUGAAGAGACUAGUCGGCAGUAGUUCCCAUAGAAACCAGCAUAGUUACUAGGGCCGGUGUGGUUGUCCUGGUAACUGGGUAAAUGAGCGAGAGCUACAGAUAGUACUCAGACAUCAAGAUCGCUGAAGAAUGAAUGCUAAACAGCAAAUUUGAACUCCUCUGUUUACUAUGAAGUGCUGGCACAUUUUAAGGAUUACCUGUUGCAGGGAACAGAACAUAUGGAUCUAAACUGGAACACUGACAACGUUGUUUAUUGCAGAAAGAGCCAUUUUUCAUACUGGUUGCUAUGGAAAUGUGCUCAAGAUUUCCAAGGUUAUCCUUAGUUCAAUGAAAACACAUGAGACAUCUUCCUGAAGCCACGUUUUUCAAGUGUCAGAUGGCACAUUGAUAAAACAAAAACAACAAGUUAAUCAAUAAACAUACUAUAAGCUUUGAACCCUU